rnacentral:rRNA from 1 species
CGUCUAGGCGGAUUGAAAAGUCAGGUGUGAAAUCCCACGGCUCAACCGUGGAACUGCACUUGAAACUGGUAAUCUUGAGUACGGAAGAGGAAAGCGGAAUUCCUGGUGUAGCGGUGAAAUGCGUAGAUAUCAGGAAGAACAUCGGUGGCGAAGGCGGCUUUCUGGUCCGAUACUGACGCUAAAGCGCGAAAGUGUGGGGAGCAAACAGGAUUAGAUACCCUGGUAGUCC